rnacentral:rRNA from 1 species
UACGUAGGGUGCAAGCGUUAAUCGGAAUUACUGGGCGUAAAGCGUGCGCAGGCGGUUUCGUAAGACAGAUGUGAAAUCCCCGGGCUCAACCUGGGAACUGCGUUUGUGACUGCGAGACUUGAGUGCGGCAGAGGGAGGUGGAAUUCCACGUGUAGCAGUGAAAUGCGUAGAUAUGUGGAGGAACAUCGAUGGCGAAGGCAGCCUCCUGGGUCGACACUGACGCUCAUGCACGAAAGCGUGGGGAGCAAACAGGAUUAGAAACCCUGGUAGU